GCGCCAGACUCCUACGGGAGGCAGCAGUGGGGAAUAUUGCACAAUGGGGGAAACCCUGAUGCAGCGACGCCGCGUGAGUGAAGAAGUAUUUCGGUAUGUAAAGCUCUAUCAGCAGGGAAGAAAUAGCGACCUUUGGGUCGCCAGACGGUACCUGAUUAAGAAGCCCCGGCUAACUACGUGCCAGCAGCCGCGGUAAUACGUAGGGGGCAAGCGUUAUCCGGAUUUACUGGGUGUAAAGGGAGCGUAGACGGUGCAGCAAGUCUGAUGUGAAAGCCCGGGGCUCAACCCCGGGACUGCAUUUGGAACUGUGCUGCUAGAGUGUCGGAGAGGCAGGCGGAAUUCCUAGUGUAGCGGUGAAAUGCGUAGAUAUUAGGAGGAACACCAGUGGCGAAGGCGGCCUGCUGGACGAUGACUGACGUUGAGGCUCGAAAGCGUGGGGAGCAAACAGGAUUAGAUACCCCCGUACU
rnacentral:rRNA from 1 species